AUUGCAACAAUGACAUCUCUUUCUCACUCAUUUAACCAUUUAGAGAGUAAAAUAAUGCUCUCAACCACAUUUUAACCAGGUGCUCUAGACUAGAGCCUCCAUCGUCUGUACAGCAGCCUGAACGUUUGACAUCCCUACCUUUUAGGUUUCUCUUUGUGUCUAGUCCAUUGUACUGGCCUGUGUGAUGUGUAGGACUUUGAUGCAUUUUAUUGCUUUGUUUAUCGUUUAUCACCUGAAAAUUCAGUCUCAGCCAACAAUUGUUGAUAUCCUCCGUCCCUUACCUGACCCUUACAGACGCAGAUGCCGGACCCGAAGACGUUCAAGCAGCACUUUGAGAGCAAGCAUCCCAAAUCCCCAAUGCCCCCAGAGCUGGAUGAUGUUGAGGCUUAAAAGACCAACACACACAAUGGACCUACAGCUGGACACACGAUGACCACGAUUAGAGCGCUGCAACUGGAACUUAAUGGCGUCAAGAGA